AUUGAACGCUGGCGGCAUGCCUUACACAUGCAAGUCGAACGGCAGCACGGGGCAACCUGGUGGCGAGUGGCGAACGGGUGAGUAAUGCAUCGGAACGUACCCGGAAGUGGGGGAUAACGUAGCGAAAGUUGCGCUAAUACCGCAUAUUCUGUGCGCAGGAAAGAGGGGGAUCUUCGGACCUCUUGCUUUCGGAGCGGCCGAUGUCAGAUUAGCUAGUUGGUGAGGUAAAGGCUCACCAAGGCGACGAUCUGUAGCGGGUCUGAGAGGAUGAUCCGCCACACUGGGACUGAGACACGGCCCAGACUCCUACGGGAGGCAGCAGUGGGGAAUUUUGGACAAUGGGCGCAAGCCUGAUCCAGCCAUGCCGCGUGAGUGAAGAAGGCCUUCGGGUUGUAAAGCUCUUUCGGCCGGGAAGAAAUCGCGUGAGUUAAUACCUUGCGUGGAUGACGGUACCGGAAUAAGAAGCACCGGCUAACUACGUGCCAGCAGCCGCGGUAAUAC
rnacentral:rRNA from 1 species